AUGAAGGAAUAUGUCAGAGGAGUGGAGAUAAAACAGGCCACAUGCCCGUGCAAGGCUGAACAUUGUCCAGACUUCCUCCAACCUCAAUGGCAACAGGCACCACAGAGAAAAAUGUUGAUAUCCUGCCUCUCUAUAAACAACACUCUUCAGUUUCCUAUGGAACACUGUGAAACAGAAAGAAGAGAAAAAUUUACUUUCAUGUAGGCAUGAGGUACAGACAUGCAGAAGCUGACUGAUACACUAGCCUUAACAUUUUGCACAACUGCUAUAAUAAACUCUUCUCAGUGGACUUGAUUUUAACA
rnacentral:lncRNA from 1 species